GAUGAACGCUGGCGGCGUGCCUAAUACAUGCAAGUCGAGCGAACGGACGAGAAGCUUGCUUCUCUGAUGUUAGCGGCGGACGGGUGAGUAACACGUGGAUAACCUACCUAUAAGACUGGGAUGACUUCGGGAAACCGGAGCUAAUACCGGAUGAUAUUUUGAACCGCAUGGUUCAAAAGUGAAAGACGGUCUUGCUGUCACUUAUAGAUGGAUCCGCGCUGCAUUAGCUAGUUGGUAAGGUAGCGGCUUACCAAGGCAACGAUGCAUAGCCGACCUGAGAGGGUGAUCGGCCACACUGGAACUGAGACACGGUCCAGACUCCUACGGGAGGCAGCAGUAGGGAAUCUUCCGCAAUGGGCGAAAGCCUGACGGAGCAACGCCGCGUGAGUGAUGAAGGUCUUCGGAUCGUAAAACUCUGUUAUUAGGGAAGAACAUAUGUGUAAGUAACUGUGCACAUCUUGACGGUACCUAAUCAGAAAGCCACGGCUAACUACGUG
rnacentral:rRNA from 1 species